AGCAUGCCAAUGAUCCCUGGAUAUAUUAACUUCCGAAUAAGAAACUUCUUCUCAGCACAUAACAAACAAAUCAGGACAGCCAACCAAAGCUAUGACGUACCAACUGCAGUAGAUUCAAGUUAAGCUCCAACCCUCGCCGAUCUCUCGGCGGCUCUGACUGGGAGUGCCACAUCAGUUGCUUGGCUCACCGCCACUCCGACUCUGGCCUCACCGUCCUCGUCAUCGGUGCCGUUGGCUUUGUCGGAACCCAUGUCUCCAUGGCCCUGAAGUGACGAGGCAACGGGGUUUUGGGUCUUGACAACUUCAACCUCUACUGCAAACUCACCCUCAAGUGUAAUCGCUAGAAGGAAACAGGUUUCCGAUUGAAUGGGUUUCGGAUUGAGUGGGUUUCGGCUUGAAUGGGUUGGUUUUCCUUGAUGAUGCUAGUUGGGUGGGUGAUGAUGAUGGCUGGGUGUGGAGUGAUUGAGUGAUGAUGAUGAUGUUGGUUGGGUCUGUUCGCCGAUCGGGGUAGUGAUGAUGAUGGUGGUUGGGUCUAAGAGAGAGAGGCAGUGAGUAAGGAAAUAAUAAAAAUUGGUAAAAGAAUGAAUAUUUUAUUGAAUAAAUGUGUAGAAUAGAUAGACUGAUGUGGGUAUUUUGUAAAAAUGGACGUGUAAAAUAGAAAAAAAGUAGUUUUUUUUGUUUUGUUUUGUGCAAAAUAGAUGGAAAGUUUGCAUCCACUGAUGUGGUUGCUCUUACAUGGUAUAAGAGCCAUACUUAUUAACUCUAAGAAUAAUUUACCAAAAAAUGGGUUACAUGGUAUUAGAGCCAUGUAAACAGUGGAACCGUUGUCAUCCUUAAUCAACAAGUGUCGACAACCAAGACAUCACUGCAACCACUGUACCAUUGUGACUAUCACUACAUUUGACCUCUGCUGUGAACACAAUUGGUCCUUGUCACAACCAUGACCGUAAUCAACCUCAACAGCCCAAUUUUACCACUGCGAUCAGAGUUCAACACCACAACUCCCAAUUGCAACCACCCACAGUCAAUUUCUGUUGAUGGAACUUCAAACCUGACAUUGAUAAUUCCUCAGACCUGAUUUCAACAUUCUCAACACCGAGAUAUUUGGUUCGUUUAAACAAUGACUGGUUGAAAUUGUCACCCUGAGAAGAUGUCAUCUGCUGGUACAAACUCAGUAUGCCGUCAAUAAGACUUCAUCAAUGAUUCACUCCACUGCAAUUAAGGGUUGAGUCUCGGUGAGUAAUCCAAUCCAUAUCACUUUCUUAAUAUGUUUCUCAAAUCUUUUAUCUCAGCUGUGUUAUUGGAAAGUUCUUUGUGCUGUUAAUCGACUCAAUUUAUUUAGGUCUCUUUCAUCUCUUGAAUUAAUGAAUCUGUUUUCUCUGGUUAUGAAAUUGUGAGUUUUUUAUUUUUUUUGUUAAUUAAAUUUCUUGUUGUUGGGUUACAUGUUCAGUGGUUGUGAUGGAAUCAAAGAAAGAAUUGGACUCUGGUUUGCUUUUUCCCCUGAACUGUUUUCAAUGACCUCAAUUAAAUUAAGUAAUAAUAAUUAUGCUCAGCGGGCAAAGUCAAUAGAAGUUUUUCUAUUUGGUAAAAAAAUAUUCCAUUACUUGGUUGGACUUCGAAACCAAUUACAUGAACACAUGGUUGUAGCUUAUGGAAAAGUAUUCGGACUGGUUGGGACAGAUUCCUGCAAUAUGUGUGUUUUGAAGCGGGGGGAUGGUGAACGAGUGGAACUUUGGCAGGACAAGUGGUGCGGGAGUUUUUUCUGCAGGUGUUGUAUCCAGAUGUAAAUGCUUGCGUAGUAGCUAGAGAUGCUGCUGUUCAUUCAGCAUUGGUUGAUGGGGAGGGGUGGAGUGGAAUGUGAGAUUUCACAUAGGUUUUAAUGAUUUGGAGUUGGAGCAAGUGCAUUCUAUCCUAUAUCUUUUAUCCACCAAGUCCCCUAGGGGGUGUGAUAAAAUGAGAAGGGGACUAAAUGGGAGUAAUAGGGUUGCUGUUUGCUCUUUUAAUAAGGCCAUUCAAGGUACACAAGUCACAUCCUUCCCUUGGAAUAGUAUCCGGUAUGUUAAGGCUCCUAAGCAGCUAUCCUUCUCUGUAUGGAUAGUA